ensembl:lncRNA
GGGGGACAGCCCCCAGUAAAGUCAGAGGUGAGAGCACAAAGCAAUAAAGUAGGCAGACUCUGGUUUUUUGGGGGCAGAUACUCGAGAAUAUCCAGGGGGACUCCUGAGGCUCGAUCCCGCCUUUGCGUAUGCCGAGCCUCCUUCCUCAUGACCUUUGUCACGAGUGGAAUGUCUCACCGGCUCCCAGCAGACGACAGAGGAUGAGAUGGCUGGAUGGCAUCACUGACUCGAUGGACCAUAUGGAACUGACUUCCAAAGCCAAGUUGCACAUCAAUUUUAUCAGCCCAAAGAGUUGUUCCUCGACCAAGGAAUCAAACUCAUGCCCCCUGCAGUGGAAGCAUGGAGUCUUCACCACUGGACCACCAGAGAAAUCCCUUUUGCCAUGUUUCUAUAGCUUAAAGGGACUUCCUGAGUGGCUCAGACAGUAAAGAAUCUGCCUGCAAUAUGGGAG